rnacentral:ncRNA from 1 species
UUCAAGGGGUGCCCGAUAGUUCGGGCUGAGAUGAUACCCUCUAACCUGAUCUGGAUCAUACCGGCGUAGGGAUGGAAUUAAUUA